rnacentral:rRNA from 1 species
ACGCUAAUACCGCAUAUCUGUGAGCAGGAAAGCGAGGGGAUCGCAAGACCUUGCGCUGAUUGAGCGGCCGAUGUCAGAUUAGCUAGUUGGUGAGGUAAGGCUCACCAAGGCGACGAUCUGUAGCGGGUCUGAGAGGAUGAUCCGCCACACUGGAACUGAGACACGGUCCAGACUCCUACGGGAGGCAGCAGGUGGGGUAAUUUUGGACAAUGGGGCAACCCUGAUCCAGCCAUGCCGCGUGAGUGAAGAAGGCCUUCGGGUUGUAAAGCUCUUUCGGCCGGGAAGAAAUCGCAUGGGUUAAUACCCUGUGCGGAUGACGGUACCGGCAUAAGAAGCACCGGCCAACUACGUG